AUUGAACGCUGGCGGCAGGCCUAACACAUGCAAGUCGAGCGGAGCGGCGGACGGGUGAUUAAUGCCUAGGAAGCUGCCUGGUAGUGGGGGAUAACGUCCGGAAACGGGCGCUAAUACAGCAUACUAUCAGAUGAGCCUAGGUCGGAGUAGCUAGUUGGUGGGGUAAAGGCAUACCAAGGCGACGAUCCGUAACUGGUCUGAGAGGAUGAUCAGUGACACUGGGACUGAGACACGGGCCAGACGCCUACGGGUGGCAGGAGUGGGGAAUAUUGGACAAUGGGCGAAAGCCUGAUCCAGCCAUGCCGCGUGGGUGAAGAAGGUCUUCGGAUUGUAAAGCACUUUAAGUUGGGAGGCGUUACCAUCAGAAUAAGCACCGGCUAACUUCGUGCCAGCAGCCGCGGUAAUUC
rnacentral:rRNA from 1 species